rnacentral:ribozyme from 1 species
AUCGCUCACCAGCAGUCUUCGUACGUUCACCAGCAGUCGUUUUGGACGCGGAGCGAGGAGUAGGUCGUGCGCGAUGCCAUGGGAGAGACUUGUGGCGCUCUGGAGAGGCAGGGGGUGUCUGUGCCGUCGGUUCAUUGGGGAU